rnacentral:rRNA from 1 species
UACGAAGGGGGCUAGCGUUGCUCGGAAUCACUGGGCGUAAAGCGCACGUAGGCGGCUUUUUAAGUCAGGGGUGAAAUCCUGGAGCUCAACUCCAGAACUGCCUUUGAUACUGGCGAUCUCGAGUCCGGGAGAGGUGAGUGGAACUGCGUGUGUAGAGGUGAAAUUCGUAGAUAUUCGCAAGAACACCAGUGGCGAAGGCGGCUCACUGGCCCGGUACUGACGCUGAGGAGCGAAAGCGUGGGGAGCGAACAGG